ACACGUGGUCCGGCGUGGUUCAGGCGGGUGUCUUCGGCCGGGCUUGGGAACAUAAAAGUUUGUUUCACCACGUAAGCCGGACCUCGCACUCCGGUCCCGGUCUCGUCGCCAAGAUGGUGAAGCCCAAGUACAAAGGACGGAGCACCAUCAACCCGUCCAAGGCCAGCACAAACCCAGAUCGAGUGCAGGGAGCAGGAGGCCAAAACAUGAGGGACCGGGCCACCAUCCGGCGCCUGAAUAUGUAUAGGCAAAAGGAGCGCAGGUGAGCACUGGGUGCUGUCAUCCUUUCUCUUUUCCUUCAUGCCCUUGACUGCUAGCUGAGACUGAUGAAGCCUUUGCUGUUCUCACCCCCACUUCCUCCAAAUAGGAGUUAUAUAUUCUCAAAUAUAAUUGUACGUGAGUGUCGUUAGGAUAAAGUGUUAACUUUUGGUUAAGGACAUGGGUAGCUGGCGGUGAAAUAGUGAUGGUUUCACAAUACUCAAAAGUAGAGGUCUUGUUUCUCACAGCCCUGACCUCCACAAAUGGCGCAUUAAAUCUCA
rnacentral:lncRNA from 1 species